AUAUUGGACAAUGGGCGCAAGCCUGAUCCAGCCAUGCCGCGUGAGUGACGAAGGUCUUCGGAUUGUAAAGCUCUUUUGGCGGGGACGAUAAUGACGGUACCCGCAGAAUAAGCCCCGGCUAACUUCGUGCCAGCAGCCACGGUAAUACCAAGGGGGCUAGCGUUGUUCGGAAUUACUGGGCGUAAAGCGCACGUAGGCGGAUUUGCAAGUCAGGGGUGAAAUCCCGGGGCUCAACCUCGGAACUGCCUUUGAUACUGCCGAUCUCGAGUCCGGAAGAGGUGAGUGGAAUUCCUAGUGUAGAGGUGAAAUUCGUAGAUAUUAGGAAGAACACCAGUGGCGAAGGCGGCUCACUGGUCCGGUACUGACGCUGAGGUGCGAAAGCGUGGGGAGCAAACAGG
rnacentral:rRNA from 1 species